rnacentral:rRNA from 1 species
UACGAAGGGGGCUAGCGUUGCUCGGAAUUACUGGGCGUAAAGGGCGCGUAGGCGGAUGUUUAAGUCGGGGGUGAAAGCCCGGGGCUCAACCUCGGAAUUGCCUUCGAUACUGGACAUCUUGAGUACGGGAGAGGUGAGUGGAACUCCGAGUGUAGAGGUGAAAUUCGUAGAUAUUCGGAAGAACACCAGUGGCGAAGGCGACUCACUGGCCCGUUACUGACGCUGAGGCGCGAAAGCCAGGGAGCGAACGGGGAUAGAGU